UUAAGUGACUAAGCGUACACGGUGGAUGCCUUGGCAGUCAGAGGCGAUGAAAGACGUAGUAACUUGCGAUAAGCCCAGAUUAGGUAGUAACAACCAUUUGAGUCUGGGAUUUCUGAAUGGGGAAACCCACGUGCAUAAGCACGUAUCCUUACCUGAAUACAUAGGGUAAGGAGGCGAACCGGGGGAACUGAAACAUCUAAGUACCCCGAGGAAAAGAAAUCAACCGAGAUUCCGAAAGUAGCGGCGAGCGAAAUUGGACUAGCCCUUAAGCUUUACACGCGUUAGACGAACGGUCUGGAAAGUCCGACGAUACAGGGUGAUAGUCCCGUAGUUGACGACGUGUGUUCAGUGAAAUCGAGUAGGGCGGGACACGUGAUAUCCUGUCUGAAUAUGGGGGGACCAUCCUCCAAGGCUAAAUACUACUGACUGACCGAUAGUGAACCAGUACCGUGAGGGAAAGGCGAAAAGAACCCCUGUGAGGGGAGUGAAAUAGAACCUGAAACCGUGUACGUACAAGCAGUAGGAGCAGGCUUGUCCUGUGACUGCGUACCUUUUGUAUAAUGGGUCAGCGACUUAUAUUCAGUGGCAAGGUUAACCAUCUAGGGGAGCCGUAGGGAAACCGAGUCUUAACUGGGCGUUCAGUCUCUGGAUAUAGACCCGAAACCAGGUGAUCUAGCCAUGGGCAGGUUGAAGGUUGAGUAACAUCAACUGGAGGACCGAACCGACUAAUGUUGAAAAAUUAGCGGAUGACUUGUGGCUAGGGGUGAAAGGCCAAUCAAACCUGGAGAUAGCUGGUUCUCCCCGAAAGCUAUUUAGGUAGCGCCUCGGACGAAUACUACUGGGGGUAGAGCACUGUUAAGGCUAGGGGGUCAUCCCGACUUACCAACCCUUUGCAAACUCCGAAUACCAGUAAGUACUAUCCGGGAGACACACGGCGGGUGCUAACGUCCGUCGUGGAGAGGGAAACAACCCAGACCGCCAGCUAAGGUCCCAAAUUACUACUAAGUGGGAAACGAUGUGGGAAGGCUCAGACAGCCAGGAUGUUGGCUUAGAAGCAGCCAUCAUUUAAAGAAAGCGUAAUAGCUCACUGGUCGAGUCGGCCUGCGCGGAAGAUGUAACGGGGCUAAGUAGUAAACCGAAGCUGCGGCAAUGUGCUUUUGCACAUUGGGUAGGGGAGCGUUCUGUAAGCGGUUGAAGGUGUGUGGUAACGCAUGCUGGACGUAUCAGAAGUGCGAAUGCUGACAUGAGUAACGAUAAAGGGGGUGAAAAACCUCCUCGCCGGAAGACCAAGGGUUCCUGUCCAACGUUAAUCGGGGCAGGGUAAGUCGACCCCUAAGGCGAGGCCGAAAGGCGUAGUCGAUGGGAAACGGGUUAAUAUUCCCGUACUUCUUACAAUUGCGAUGGGGGGACGGAGAAGGCUAGGUGGGCCUGGCGACGGUUGUCCAGGUUCAAGUGCGUAGGCUUAAGAGUUAGGUAAAUCCGGCUCUUUUUAAGGCUGAGACACGACGUCGAGCACCUACGGGUGUGAAGUCAUUGAUGCCAUGCUUCCAGGAAAAGCCUCUAAGCUUCAGAUUGUAAGGAAUCGUACCCCAAACCGACACAGGUGGUCGGGUAGAGAAUACCAAGGCGCUUGAGAAAACUCGGGUGAAGGAACUAGGCAAAAUGGUACCGUAACUUCGGGAGAAGGUACGCUCUUGAUGGUGAAGUCCCUCGCGGAUGGAGCUGACGAGAGUCGCAGAUACCAGGUGGCUGCAACUGUUUAUUAAAAACACAGCACUGUGCAAAAUCGUAAGAUGACGUAUACGGUGUGACGCCUGCCCGGUGCCGGAAGGUUAAUUGAUGGGGUUAGACUUCGGUCGAAGCUCUUGAUCGAAGCCCCGGUAAACGGCGGCCGUAACUAUAACGGUCCUAAGGUAGCGAAAUUCCUUGUCGGGUAAGUUCCGACCUGCACGAAUGGCGUAAUGAUGGCCACGCUGUCUCCACCCGAGACUCAGUGAAAUUGAAAUCGCUGUGAAGAUGCAGUGUACCCGCGGCUAGACGGAAAGACCCCGUGAACCUUUACUACAGCUUGGCACUGAACAUUGACCCUACAUGUGUAGGAUAGGUGGGAGGCUUUGAAGCAAGUACGCCAGUAUUUGUGGAGCCGUCCUUGAAAUACCACCCUUGUAGUGUUGAUGUUCUAACGUCGACCCCUUAUCGGGGUUGCGGACAGUGCCUGGUGGGUAGUUUGACUGGGGCGGUCUCCUCCCAAAGAGUAACGGAGGAGCACGAAGGUGGGCUAAUCACGGUUGGACAUCGUGAGGUUAGUGCAAUGGCAUAAGCCCGCUUGACUGCGAGAAUGACAAUUCGAGCAGGUGCGAAAGCAGGUCAUAGUGAUCCGGUGGUUCUGAAUGGAAGGGCCAUCGCUCAACGGAUAAAAGGUACUCCGGGGAUAACAGGCUGAUACCGCCCAAGAGUUCAUAUCGACGGCGGUGUUUGGCACCUCGAUGUCGGCUCAUCACAUCCUGGGGCUGAAGUCGGUCCCAAGGGUAUGGCUGUUCGCCAUUUAAAGUGGUACGCGAGCUGGGUUUAGAACGUCGUGAGACAGUUCGGUCCCUAUCUGCCGUGGGCGUUGGAAGAUUGAAGGGGGCUGCUCCUAGUACGAGAGGACCGGAGUGGACGAACCUCUGGUGUUCGGGUUGUGUCGCCAGACGCAUUGCCCGGUAGCUAAGUUCGGAAUCGAUAACCGCUGAAAGCAUCUAAGCGGGAAGCGAGCCCUGAGAUGAGUCUUCCCUGAUACUUUAAGUAUCCUAAAGGGUUGUCGGAGACUACGACGUUGAUAGGUCAGGUGUGUAAGUGCUGUGAGGCAUUGAGCUAACUGAUACUAAUUGCCCGUGAGGCUUAACCAU
rnacentral:rRNA from 1 species